UUCCAUAUUUUAGAUGAUCCACCAAUGUAUCAUUUGUGUGAACUUCCAAUUCACAACCCACAAGCUGGUGAAGUAUAUGUUGUGAAGGCUCCAUCACUAUCUCUUGCAAGAAGAGAAAUGAUGUAUGAUAAUCUAACAUGGAGUGAAGGACAAGUGAAACACGUCGGAGGUAAACGGCCUGUUGUGCGGAAG